rnacentral:rRNA from 1 species
GGACGAACGCUGGCGGCGUGCUUAACACAUGCAAGUUGAACGGUCCGGCAUGGAAGCUUGCUGAAGUGUCGGGUAGUAGCGGACGGGUGAGUAAUGCAUGAGAAGCUGCCAUUGGGAGGGGGACAACAGUUGGAAACGGCUGCUAAUACCCCAUAUGCCGGAAGGUGAAACGGAGUAAUCCGCCCGAUGAGGUGCUCAUGUCCUAUCAGCUUGUUGGUGAGGUAACGGCUCACCAAGGCGACGACGGGUAGCCGGCCUGAGAGGGUGACCGGCCACACUGGAACUGAGAUACGGUCCAGACUCCUACGGGAGGCAGCAGUGGGGAAUAUUGGGCAAUGGGGGAAACCCUGACCCAGCGACGCCGCGUGAGGGAAGACGGCCUUCGGGUUGUAAACCUCUUUUGUACGGGGAAGAAGGACGUGACGGUACCGUGCGAAUAAGUCCCGGCUAACUACGUGCCAGCAGCCGCGGUAAUACGUAGGGGACGAGCGUUGUCCGGAAUUACUGGGCGUAAAGGGCGCSCAGGCUGUAGAUCAAGUCAGCUGUGAAAUGUCUGGGCUUAACCCCGGGCAUGCGGUUGAAACUGAUGUACUGGAGUGCUGUAGAGGCAAGUGGAAUUCCCAGUGUAGCGGUGAAAUGCGUAGAUAUUGGGAAGAACACCGGUGGCGAAGGCGACUUGCUGGGCAGCAACUGACGCUGAGGCGCGAAAGCCAGGGGAGCAAACGGGAUUAGAUACCCCGGUAGUCCUGGCCGUAAACGAUGAAUGCUAGGUGUGUGUGUAGAGAUACAUGCGUGCCGGAGUUAACGCGAUAAGCAUUCCGCCUGGGGAGUACGGUCGCAAGAUUGAAACUCAAAGGAAUUGACGGGGGCCCGCACAAGCGGUGGAGCACGUGGUUUAAUUCGAUGCAAA